UGUUGUCCCAGAGACCGUUUAGUUCUAGUGUGACUGUGUGAUAUUGUACUCUGUAGUAUGUGCAGUAUUUCCGAAGACUGGUUGGUUUAUAUUUUUGUUAAUGUAAAUGAAAUAUGUAAAGUUGUUGUGUGCACUACAGUAGUGAGACAAAAGCCUUUCAUAUAUUUAGGUUGCCUGUAUGUUUUGAAGGUGUGUCUGCAAAGCUCUGUAACGUUUUGUCUGUUUUUUUUUUUUUUUUUUAAAUCUCUUAUGCUCUGGAUAAGAUGGACGUCUUUCCUCUGACCUGUUACCAAGACAGCUGGAUGUGUAAGAAGCUGGAACUAAGUCACUGAAGAAGUAAACCGAUGAAAACCGAUUUGGAUUGUCUGAGAGAUGACACAAGUAAAAGGAGAAGAAUGCUGCUCAGCUGGGUUGGCGAAGCUCUUGGAUAUCAUCAGCACAUGUAUGAAGCACAGAGUCAUUCCGGUAGGCACAGAGUCGUUCCUCGAUGGACGUGAUGACCUGGCACCAAAACCGCUUAAUGUGUAUGAAGC